AGCUGCAUCAUGAACAGGAGAGAGAGGACUGAAAAGAACGUGUGUUCUCGUGACAUUCGGAAUGUGGGCCAUUCUCCCCACAAGCUCCGCCCCCCGCAUCUUCCCUGGGUUUGUGCCUCGUCUACCACACGUUGCUUCUGCCACCGAGCCCUGCCGCUCCAGGACGCCGCAGGUAUACGCAUGGGUCUCGGCUUCGCUGGAUGCUUCCGGGAGAGAGGGACACUGCCUUCUCAGGAAGGAGAGCUUCCUGUUCCCACCGCUGCCCAACUGAUAGGCUUUGCCUAAAUCCCAAAGCUAGAUCUCUCUGGAUUUUGUCAUUUAUAUAGAUUGAAAAAGAUGGCCACAAACUUUUCCCUUCUCAUCGAGAAGCCCAGUCUGCGUCUCCAUCUGGGAUUGGCCACGUAAUUUGAUUUGGCUGGUGACCCAGUAACAAAUGUGACACGCGCAGACUCUUGGAAAGUUCUUGUGCAUGGUGCUUGUCUUCUCUUGCUGCUCUUGGGAACCCUACAGUUACCAUAAGGUGAACGAGCCUGGGCUGUCCUGCUGUGUGACGAGGGAAAAGGGCCCGGCUACCUCGGUCACCCUCUCAGGCAGCCUUGAACUCCCAGCUGACUGCAAGCACACGAGGGAGCCCGGCCAAGGCCGGCAGAGGACGACCUGGCUGAGCCCAGCCCGAGACGCGGAUUCCUGCUCGAGGCCUGAGAAGUCGGUGCGCUGUUCUCGUCAAGGAAAAAUGGGCUUGUUCUCCUCAUCCGACUGUUCGGCCCUGAAUCCCUCACGCCAUCCAAUUUUAGGUGUCUCUGGGUCUCCAUUUUCUUUGACAGACUGUGGUCAAAGCUUGUCGCCCCACACCGUCUCACCAGAGAACGACAAUGUCGGGCCUCGCCACCCCCGAGCCCCCGCACUGGUCCACUGUCUGUCUGGGGUCCACGGACAGCCUCUCACGCUUUUCAGCAUCUCCUCGGUCUUCCCCAGGGCCACCUGACUGGAGCCGGGCCCCGUUCUCACAGUACCAUUCCCUGGUACCUGUGCACGUCACGGCAUUCCCCAAAUAGCCCUGCGAGUGUGACGAGGCGGAGGGGCUGGGUGACGGUCGGUUGGACAAGCCGAUAGCACUGCUUGGAGAGCUACCAAAGGGCUUUACGGUGGCCCUGGCCUGCCCAAGAGGAGCCAGGAGGACAGUCUGGCCCAGUGCUGGCACUUCCAAGGGCUGGAACACACAAGCCAUAACCCUGGGGCUGAGUUUCAGGCUGCCGGUGACCCAUGCCUCUGAAAGCCAAGGUCUAGUCGGUCUGUUCGGGCCCCAGUUCAGAUGGAAAAGGUCAUUAAAACAUCACUUCUUAGUUGCCAGCUUUGGCUUUGAACUUGCUCGGGCGAUGCUGGCAAUACUGGGUAGCUGUGGUCGUCAUUGUCUCUUCACACCGAGCCCUGCCCAAGCCAGGCUUCUCGCCGCCAAAGAGCCCCGCGCGCCGGCGGCAGAGACGGAAAACCCUGCGUCCUCAGCAAGGGGUGCGCACGGUUUGGGUGAAGGUUGAGGGGAGUCAUGGGAAAGAACUGUGAAAACUGGAACCCUGCAGUUCCAGAGACAACGAAAGUACAGACAAGGAACGCCGCAGAGAACAUGCUGGGCUUCUGAAGUGACGGGGGCGGGGGCGGGGGGCGGACCGGGUCCCCUGCAGGGCCGCUCAGAUCGCUCAGGCUUCCCGCCUUGUCGCCUUGUUGAGAGAGAAAGCAGAGGAAGCCAGCAUCGCUCCUGGGUCUGUGGGCAGGAGGUCGGGCUGCCGAGGCAGGAGGAGGCGGAGCUGGCCGAGCUGGCCUGGCCCCGGCCCCCUGCGCUGCUGGACGCCGAGUCCUGUUGUUUCUUCUGCCCUGAACAGCGAGUCCUCGUAGGAGCUGCCUGGACACGUUCGCUGCCUUCCCAGGCUUCUCUGGGGCACAAAAUAAGUCCUGGGUAAGACCUGGUCUCUGUCCCUGGGACCCUGCACGUGCAGAGGGGAAAUGAGACAUGCCGAAGACGGACCUGGCGGAUGUUACGCAUGUGCACUGUUGCUACGGCAACAGUGUGACAAACCCAGAGGAUCACAUUUUUUAAUUUAAAGGGGUGUAUUUUGAUAUUUUAGUGUUGUGUGCGUUUGUCCAUCCAUCUUAUUUAAAGAUGUGCCCAGCGACCUGAAGAGCCAGCAGUAGAAACUCUGAACUGAGAGAGAGGGAGAAGCAAACCAGUGCCACUGUCCCUGAGGUCGCAAACCUCAUUAGGUCUUCGGACUCCACGCCUCCGGGUCUUUCCUGCUGGAUCGGUGUUUCCUCGAGUUGCCUAAACGUGCGAUUAUUGAUCGCUGUCUGACGUGUGUCGUUGGGCCCUGCCCUGGAGGUCGGCCGACGGGUCUGGAGCCGGGAUCUGGGGCUUGACACGCGUCUCAGGAGUCCGGUGAUCAGAUGCAUCCGGGAAACACUACACCACAUCACGCCCCUGCCGCAGCCCAAACGGCUGGUUCUGAGGCAUCCCUGGGCUUCGAAAGCUUUUCCUCGAACGUCCUGGGGAGGUCCCUCUUACCCCCUUGGGGCUGGCAGUGGCAGAGCGCCCAGGCAGGCUGGCUGUGCCAGUGGUGACUGGCUCACCAGAGUCCAAGGCCAGGAGAACUGUGUGAGGCAGAGAGAAAGGAAAGCUCAGAGCACACCCCACGAGGCUCUUCUAGGUGUUUCGAUUCUAGAAUAGUGGUCUGUUGCGACAGCCUCAGAUCUGACAAGAAUCACAGGUAAUUUUCUCAUUGCCUCGAUAUCAUUCUGAGCAAAACUUAGACGGUGGAUAGACAGAUACCAUUGGGGAAAUGGUAGAAAUAAAUCAUUUUUGAAACAUUCAAAUUAUCAACCAGGCUGGUCAACACCCACGUCUUCCUUAAGAUCCAAAGUAGGGCGGACGAGAAUAAUAAAUUCUACAUUACAUAGCCUUCCAACACCAGAUUUACAUGCUGCCGGAAUCUGACAAGAGUUUGAAAUUGAUUUCUAGGAUGCAGAGAUCCAGAUUCACCAAUAUAGGGGCUCAGGGCCCUGCCAGGACCCUGGCUCCUUGUCACCCGGGAAGCUGAUCAACGGAGCUCGAAUUCAGAGGCUUUUAACGUCAGCGUGCAGCGAGGGUGAUACCGAGCUGCUGUAGGCAGCGGCCUGGAUGUCAGCACUGCCUGAAGCUGAUGAGGUUCACGCUAUUUGUAGGAUUUCCACGGCGUAUCACGUGUACACACCACUUUCACGUGCACCAGCUCUGUGGCCCAGGGUGCCCGUGUGGUCCCAUCAAACAGAAUGUAAAACGGAGGCUGACAAAGCCUGAGUCAUUUGCCUAGAGUCACAUGCCUCUUAAAGUGACAGCCAGGCCUCCUGACUGACUUGUCUCGGGCUCUCUCCGGUUCCUGUGGUUCCCGGGGGACGGGGACCUGGCCGAUUCUCUGCAUGGGUCAACAUGCAGUGAGGGGACACGCACUGCGCCCAUCGGGGGAGUGAAGCUAGGGAGGAAGAUAAGUCCACCCAGCCCAUCACCUGUCCUUACCUGCCGCCGUGACGGGCUGCAGUCCACCCAGCCCAGCACCAUCAUCACCUGCCGCCGUGACGGGCUGCAGUCCACCCAGCCCAGCGCCAUCGUCACCUGCCGCCGUGACAGGCGUCGGCUUCGCCCGAGGCGCGUUCCUCUUUCCUUGGCCGUGCUCUGAGGCGGAACGGCUUCGAUAAAAACGUGCUCCAGGUUUGCGAGGCCCCCUCAAAGAGGAACUUCUGAGCAGAGAACAAUUCAUCUGGGCUCGGGAUUCCGGGCCUUGGGGCGACCCGCUUAGGAGCACAGUACCUGGCAACUUCACUGCGUUUGGGUUUUAGGCAGAACUUGCGGGGUCGGGUCUAGAGGGAGACAACACGCCGUUUACUCAGAAGCUCGUAGGCGCUGGUGGGUGGGGCUGGACCUCCUCCUGGGAUGGCUGGGACACCGCGUCUCUCUCACCGUAGCUUUAAGGAAAAGCCACUUUGUCAACAAAAGCAUUAGACAUUGCCCCGUGAGACCUUGCCACGUGAGAAGAAACGGGGACACCGAGGGCUCAGAAAUCUGCUUCGUGGGAGUCACCUGCCCAGUUCUCGUGCCUUGUCUGUGGCAGCAAAGCUGAAAUGUUUGUGUCGCUGUUGCCCACGAUCUUUUUCCGUGUCAAACAUGCAAAGUGGAUUUCGUUGUAAUGUUUUAAACUAAAUAAAGCAUUUCCACCUA